rnacentral:misc_RNA from 1 species
GAAAUGCGAUAAGUAAUGUGAAUUGCAGAAUUCAGUGAAUCAUCGAAUCUUUGAACGCACAUUGCGCCCGCCAGUAGUCUGGCGGGCAUGCCUGUCCGAGCGUCAUUUCAACCAUCAAGCCCCCGGGCUUGUGUUGGGGACCUGCGGCUGCCCGCAGGCCCUGAAAACCAGUGGCGGGCUCGCUGUCACACCGAGCGUAGUAGCAAUCACCUCGCUCAGGGCGUGCUGCGGGUUCCGGCCGUUAAACAGCCUUACAAAACCCAAGGUUGACCUCGGAUCAGGUAGGAAGACCCGCUGAACUUAAGC